CACAUCAGGGGUAGGAUAAGGGGCCUUCUGUUAGAUACAGUCUGGAGGCUUGUUCCAGUGAGUAAAGAAUAGGCACACCUAAGACUUUCUAUGUCCUGCUCCUUUCCUGUUCUUUAAGGGCUUUGGGUUAGGACUGAGGAGUCACUGUCAGGUUUGGCUUCUGCCUUGGACUCAUCUUGACGAAGAACAUGGCAAAAAUCCUUGCCACAGUCCUCUUAGUAUGGAAAAGAGUUCAACCUGUGUGAUGGGAAAGAGGAGAAGAACGUCCUGAUCUUGAACGAGGCCCAGCUCAGGCUGUUUUUUCAUGAUGUUAUUGAACCCGAGGUCUGCACAGGGUGUAGAAGGAACAGAGAGACAAGGUGCUUGGAGGGAGCUGGAGAUGGGCUCCUGCAAGAGAUGACACCUGAUUUGUGUCUUCAAAGACCAGCCACAUUUUGCUAGAAGAAGAAGAUGAAAAAGGCCCAUGGAUUAGGCCUCGUGAUCCCUGUUUUGAGAUGAAGGAAGUAAGGCAUGGAGAGGUUACGUGACUUCCGUAAGAUCGGGACCCCUAUUAAAGCAGCCAGAAUGGAUUGAAUUCCUGCUGGGGGCAAGGCUUGCUAUUGAUCUUACAGACCCAUCCAGCAACACUAUAUCUUCCAUCACUUUCCUGAUGACUGGAGAAAGCAUGCUAGGCGGGAUGGGGUCAGCAGGAGAGAUCCCUGCAGCACAAGCCAAAAAGGGGGGAUAUGUGAAGAAAUAUUGAUAGACUGGGGAGAUAGGACUCCAGGCAUCUCUGGCUGGUGGGAUCUGCCUAUCAUCACUCCUAUGAGGAUACAGGGAGUCAGCGAGAGACUUCUGGACCCCAAGAGGAGGACUAAAACAGUGGAAAAACGGCAAGAGGUCGCGUGUGUUCAAUCCGUCUAAACCCGCCCGCAACUGUAAGUUCAGUAGCAGCGAGACUGCAAACCAGAAAGGCCUUACCUGUGAACUGUUUUGGUGUCCUUGGACUUGGCACUGAGUUGAACUGCCUUGGGGAGGGCCUGAGCGGGAGUGCGGAGAACUUUGGCCGUUGUCUAGGGCCCCAGUCUGAGCCGCUGAGCCAGACGGAGCUAAUAGUGUUUGGCGGUGGGUCACACGGAGCCAUUGUGAGUGAUCUGCCCCGGCAAGCUCCGCCCUCAGGGUCGCAGAGGUAGAAUCUGGUGGGAGCUGGUAACCCAGCAACCAAGUAGCCUAAGGGUGGGGGUCUGAGCCGCCUUGCAGCCCUAACCCUCAGGGGCAGAGUGAGACGGG